GAAAAAUAGUAAACAAAAACAGCAUUCUUAGAAGUUGCUCAAACUUUGUAUCCUGCAGUGACCCGUGUCAUCCUUCUGACCAAAUCAGGUUGUUAUCCAGAAUGCCACGUAAAUAUGUGAGGAAAAUUGGGUCUAGACCCUACAAAAACUACACUGAAGCCCAACUAAAUGAAGCUAUCGAAUUAGUGAAAGGAAAACAACUGUCUCUCAGACAAGCAUCACAGAGAUUCAAUAUCCAUAGAAACACAAUUUGGUUGAAAAUAAAAGCUGAAAAAAAUGAAGUGAAUAAUCCGAAUGGAUUAAAAUAUUUCAAGAGCCCAGGUUCGCAGCCUGUCUUCACAGUUGACGAAGAAAAGAGAUUUGUCGCCCACGCUAUUGCAAUGUCUACAUACGGAUUUCCAAUCACCUCGUUUGAUUUACGAAGUACAGUGAAGGCUUAUCUCGAUCGAUGUGGGAGAAAGGUAGCUAGAUUCAAAAAUAACUUUCCUGGACUAGAAUGGGCCUAUGCUUUUA